UACGAAGGGGGCGAGCGUUGUUCGGAUUUACUGGGCGUAAAGGGCGCGUAGGCGGCGCUUCAAGUCGCGUGUGAAAGCCCCGGGCUCAACCUCGGGACUGGAAGGGAUACUGGCAGGCUGGAGGACGUCAGAGGGAAGUGGAAUUCCUAGUGUAGCGGUGAAAUGCGUAGAUAUUAGGAGGAACACCAGUGGCGAAAGCGACUUCCUGGGGCGUUCCUGACGCUGAGGUUCGAAAGCUCGGGGAGCAAACAGG
rnacentral:rRNA from 1 species